ACCCGAAGUUUGGAUUCUGGUGAGGAUAUAAUCGUAAAAUGCAAAUACUUGGACAAGCCAAGCAGUAAACAAUUUUCUAGCUCAAGAUGAUGCUACAAUGUUUAUUGGCAAAGCAUAAUAUAUAAGACAAAGGCUGUGAUUAAUUAUUUAUCGGGAACAGGAUGUUCCACGUAUGCCUCGAAUUAUUACGCAAUGGAAGUCACAUGAUGAAUUUGGAAAAUUAAUGAUAUAGCAGAACAUUGGAAAAACAAUACACAGUCCUUUUCCCGGCGUCUGUUGAAUGACGACAUAAACUGUGUUAUUUGUGUGAGGGGAUUGUCUUAAAAUGGACAUUAUCGGCGCCAGUAAUAAAACUUAUACGGCACAGAAGCUUACUGGAUGGGCGUAUAAUUUAGAUCCCGAUAAAACACCGUAUAUUCCAACGUCUGUGUUUGUUGCUGGGUGUGUGCUCCUAGGGAUUGUCGUUCUCACAUGUUGCGCAUGCGCAGUCGUUGCCGAAGUCAGACGAAAAUGCAUAGAAAGGAAGGAAAAAAAGAUAGAAAACGCGGAAAAGUUUUUAAAAAAAAAAUACGUCAACAUAUGUUUAACAAUUAUUUAUUGGAAAAUGACUAUGUUUCAGAGUAUGUUUAAUUCAAGGAAAUAGUCCUGAUCAUUCUUUAAAGGUCGAGGAGAUAAGAUGUGAUUUAUAUCAAUCAUAAUACAACAGUUUACACUUAACUGAAUGACGAUCAAAUCAAUUCGUUUUGUCCAUUUAUAAUAGCAUCAACAUCAUCUUUAUUUAUGUUAACUAAUGCCUGCGUCUGAAAUAAACGUUAAACAUGAA